ACUCCAUUGAUCAUGUCAAGUCCUUUUAACUUCGGGACAUUCCAAAGAAACCUGUGAAAACAGGAAACAAGUGGGAGUUUUGUAGAAUUAUAAGGUAACAUCAUCCACCUUUUUUAAUGUACCAUUUAUUUCAAUAAAUUUACCUGAAACAUUGUCCAGUUGUUACUACUUUAAGGUUUCAAAUUUUCUUCAGGCAAUGUGUGGUUGUAAUUUCACGGUUAUGUCUCAGCCUUCCGUGCUUUUCAGAGUGAUAUUUUUAUCUCGAUUUUUUUUGAAGUCAUGAAAACUUUGCAAGAUUAUGUGAAGUAAAUUUUUAUGCUUCUAUUUAGGUUCUUCUAUGAAUCAAAUAUGUAUUUGCAAAAUGGUCUUGCUUGUACAUCUUGAUCAUUAACUCUGAGCUUUCUGCAGAUUGUGGAGAAACUUCUAAUUACUGCCAUUGCAGAUGCUGAUGUUAGUGUUCGUCAGUCAGUCUUUCUAUCUCUGCAUGGAAAUGGAGGUUUCGAUGAAUUUUUGGCACAGGCUGAUAGUUUGAGUGCUAUCUUUGUUGCUCUAAAUGAUGAGGUAUAAUUUUUGGCACAACCUGCCAAUGGCUCUUCUAUGAGCAUUUGAACUGUUAUCUUUAUUUGAAAAAUGUUUAUGAACAUAGGGGCAUGUUCACUAUCUUUUUCUUUUUUUUCUUCUUUUCCAUGUCAUAGGAUUUUGAUGUUCGAGAGUUUGCUAUAUCAAUUGCUGGCAGAUUGUCUGAAAAGAAUCCAGCAUAUGUUCUACCUGCACUUCGUCACCAUCUCAUACAAUUGUUGAUGCAUCUUGAGCAAAGUGCAGAUAACAAAUGCAGAGAAGAAAGUGCUAAACUCUUGGGUUGCCGCAGCCUAAUGUUGUAUUAGACGUAAUCGAAAAUCAAAAGUAGCCUUCAUAUACGGAGGUUAGUUUUUUCUAGUUGAAUAUUUAAUACAGAAAUGGCAUUUUACUGAUGUCUCAUUAGUAGGUUGCUGUCCUGCAGAUGGGUAGCUAUGAUGCAAUGAUUAUGCAGAAGCUUGCUGCCAUGCAGCAGUUGGAACGUGAGCUUGAGGCCAUCUCUGCCAUUGAUUACCAGGAAAUUAUGUUAUUCCUAGUGAAGAAGUUCUUGUAGGAACGUUUGGAGGAUCUAGCAGGUAAAGAUGCCCAAGAGAAAUCUGAUGUUGCUAUAGAAACCCUUUUACAAGAGCUUCCAGAUGAAAGAAAUGUCAAUAAAAGACCGGAUGAUUCAAAACAGAUACAGGAAAAGUCAAAGAAAAAGAAAAAGAGAUUAUAGAAGAGAUAAGAAUAUAAAUAUUUA